UCCGUAGAGGUAAUUUUUUUUGGCUGAUUUAUGUAUUUGAUUGUUUCUGUUUUAUUUUUUCUUUCUUCCUGCUGUGACGCAUGGUAUCAAAAAGGUCCUGUGGAGGUGGUGUCCUGGUUAGACAUCCCCAAUAAGUGGUAUCAGAGCGAGGUGGUAACAGAACACAGAUUACAGUGGUGGUAAGCAAGAUUGAAGAUAGAGA
rnacentral:lncRNA from 1 species